rnacentral:rRNA from 1 species
UACGUAGGAGGCAAGCGUUGUCCGGAAUUACUGGGCGUAAAGCGCGUGUAGGUGGUGGGACAAGUCUGCUGUGAAAGCGCCUGGCUUAACCGGGCGAGGUCGGCGGAAACUGUCGCACUCGAGGACGGUAGAGGGGGGUGGAAUUCCCGGUGUAGUGGUGAAAUGCGUAGAGAUCGGGAGGAACACCUGUGGCGAAGGCGGCCCCUGGCCGCCCGUGACACUGAGACGCGAAGGCGUGGGGAGCGAACGGG